CAUGCCGUAAACGAUGAGUGCUAAGUGUUGGAGGGUUUCCGCCCUUCAGUGCUGCAGCUAACGCAUUAAGCACUCCGCCUGGGGAGUACGACCGCAAGGUUGAAACUCAAAGGAAUUGACGGGGGCCCGCACAAGCGGUGGAGCAUGUGGUUUAAUUCGAAGCUACGCGAAGAACCUUACCAGGUCUUGACAUCUUCUGCCAAUCUAAGAGAUUAGACGUUCCCUUCGGGGACAGAAUGACAGGUGG
rnacentral:rRNA from 1 species